GACGAACGCUGGCGGCGUGCUUAACACAUGCAAGUCGAACGGACACGCAGGGACUUUGUCCUCCUGACGAGUGGCGAACGGGUGAGUAACACGUGAGCAAUCUGCCCCUGACUCUGGGAUAACUGCGGGAAACUGUAGCUAAUACCGGAUACGACAUGCUGAGGCAUCUUCUGCGCUUGGAAAGAAUGUCGGUCAGGGAUGGGCUCGCGGCUUAUCAGCUUGUUGGUGAGGUAUUGGCUCACCAAGGCGACGACGGGUAGCCGGCCUGAGAGGGUGACCGGCCACACUGGGACUGAGACACGGCCCAGACUCCUACGGGAGGCAGCAGUGGGGAAUAUUGCACAAUGGGCGCAAGCCUGAUGCAGCAACGCCGCGUGAGGGAUGACGGCCUUCGGGUUGUAAACCUCUUUUGGCAGGGACGAAGCGAGAGUGACGGUACCUGCAGAAAAAGCACCGGCUAACUACGUG
rnacentral:rRNA from 1 species